UUCUUAGGUAUAGGGAAUAAAAAUGCAGCCUAAAUAAAUAUUAAGACUUGCACAAAAAGACCUAGUUUCUUUUAGUUAAGUGAAAUACAUUUAAAAUAUUGUGUUCACAUAACAUUCUGGCUGGGUUAGUUGUAUGAAAAACAAGGGUGCCAAAAUCAAGUUGUAGACUGCAUCCAGAAAAACAGAGUAAAAAUGUCAAUUCUGCUUUAAUAUGACUGAAGCAAUACUGCUGUAAACAUGAGAAGAUGAUCUGUGGUAAAAUUAUGGUAUGCAAAUUUUUUAUAUUUUAAGCGCACUGUCUUGGUGAGCAUUUGCCUGCAUUCCCAAGGAGGCUAAUCCAUCCUAGAUACAGUACGUGUAACUUCCGGGAAGUCUAAAGUGCUUCAACGAUAAGGAACGUGCGGUGUUCUCUGAAAUCGCUGUUUCACUCAGGCAGAUGUGCAUGCAUAUAUCUGCAGGAGACAACCAUAAAGCAUCAUCCUGAAGUCAUCCUAGCUAAAAAAAAAACAACCCAGCUCCAAAGAAACCACCAGAUGCUGAGACUUUACAUUCCUGAGGAAGAGAACUGCUCAGUAAAUACUCCUACACUGCCUCCAAGACUCAAAAAUCAAGAUAACUGGGUUUUCUCUUCUGCAAAAUGGAAGUGAAAAGGAAGCCUCUGUUCAGAAAGUGCCCAUGAAUACUCAAGGCAAGCUGUAGCACUGUCUGUUCAGUCCAGGUAAUUAAAAUCAAACAGAAUUGUGAAUGCCCUAUCAAAAGGAAUUGACUCAUGGCAAUUAAAGGCAAUUGCCUUAUAGUUAUACAGUAGUAAUAUAAG
rnacentral:lncRNA from 1 species